rnacentral:rRNA from 1 species
UACGUAGGGUGCAAGCGUUGUCCGGAAUUAUUGGGCGUAAAGAGCGUGUAGGCGGCCCGACAAGUCCGCUGUGAAAGUCCAGGGCUCAACCCUGGAAUGCCGGUGGAUACUGUCGGGCUAGAGUGAUGUAGGGGAGACUGGAAUUCCUGGUGUAGCGGUGAAAUGCGCAGAUAUCAGGAGGAACACCGAUGGCGAAGGCAGGUCUCUGGGCAUUAACUGACGCUGAGGAGCGAAAGCAUGGGGAGCGAACAGG